GGGACAGGCAUCUCCUGUGGGUUAUGUGGGGCUGUGCUGUGCACCCUGGGGAUGAUGACUGACCCCCUUUGUGCAGAGACAGAGGAGAUGUUGCUGCACCACAUCCCCAGGAGAGCCCCUGCCUCCUUCUGCUGUCAGGGAUGGGACUGGGAGACGACUAUACGCAGAAAGUAACACUUGCCAUGGCUUCAAUCCCCAGUGGAAGAGGCUGGGCUCCCCACUGCUCAGAGCUCCUGGUUAGGGACACCCACGCCUGCGCCUGGCUCAGAGUCCAGGGUGCACUCAGUCCGGAUCCAGCCUCGAGAUGUUCCUGCUGCAGCUGCAGGUGUUUCCCAGUCCAGCUUGCUGAACCUCCAGCUCUGACUGUGGCACGUUCUUCCUUCCAGCUCUGGCUCUGAUAUGCUGCAUUUGAUGGCUGCUCCAGUUCCUUCCAGCUCUGGCAUCCUUCCAAGCCAUGGUAGCUGGACUCUACUCACAACAGGUCCCGACAGGGUUCACGCUGGUGCUUGCUGAGUUUGGGGAAAUUUGGAAGAUUUUGGAGUGUUUAGGGAGGUUUUCAAAGAAUUUUGAAAGCG